AACGCACAUUGCGCCCCUUGGUAUUCCGAGGGGCAUGCCUGUUCGAGCGUCAUUUUGACCAACUCCUCUUCAUAGAGGGUCUUGGGCUACGCCUUUGGGCGGGCCUCAAAAUCAGUGGCGGUGCUGUUAGGCUCUACGCGUAGUAAUACUCCUCGCGACAGACCCCUAAUAGUUACUUGCCAACAACCCCCAACUUCUUUAGGUUGACCUCGGAUCAGGUAGGGAUACCCGCUGAACUUAA
rnacentral:misc_RNA from 1 species